CUGUCACCCAGGCUGGAGUGCAAUGGCAUGAUAUCUUCUUACUGCAACCUCUGCCUCCUGGGCUCAAACCAUCCUCCCACCUCAGCCUCCAGAAUAGCUGAAACUACAAGGCCCUGGACACAGGAUGAUCCCGGAUGGUGAGGCGGAGGGAAGGAACUGCUGGGGUCCCAGGAGAAGCCAGAGCCAGGCAGUGAGCUCCAGAUGGUGGGGGAGUGGCUGCCACCUUGACCAUCUUCCCCCGCAUGGCUGUUCUCCUCUGUGGACCACCCCAUGCCUCUGACCCCCAUCCUCCCUACCCCAUUCCCUACAGCCAGUCCCCACAACCACUCUUCCAGCAGCCCGGGGGGCCAUUCCCAUCUGUCCUCCCCUGUCCCAGUUCCAAUAAUGGACUACACCACCUUUAUCUUCCACUGCCCCAAAUGACGGCUGUCCGUCUAGUCAGUUCCACCCACUACACCACAGUCAUCGUGACCAUGUCACUCCUUUGCUCCGAACCAUGGCUCCCCCUCACCCUAAGGAGGAAAGCUCAGACUCCCUCUCCCCAGGGUGGCCUCUCCAGCCUCCUCCAUCUGUUCCCAGCAGGGUGGGCAUGGCUGUCACAUGUUCCUAGAACAUGCCAGGCCUUUGGCCUUGCUGUUCCCUCCGCUGGAACACCUACCACUGCACCAUCCACCUCCACCUGUCUUGUUCCUGCGACUCAGCAUGACUCUGCUGAAGCAUCCCCUGCCCUGGGAAGACUUCCUGGCUUUCCAGGCAGUACCAGCUCCUGUCUCCAGUUCCCAUGGCACUGGGACCUCCAUCACAUCUCCUCAGAUAGCUUGCCAAUGUCUGUCAGUCUGUCUGCCCUCUUGGCGGCACCAGGGACCUCCUCUGACUCUCCUCUGAGUCCCCAGGGAUCAGCCCAGUGCCUGGUAUGAAGUAGGCACUUGCACAUGCAUUUAAAAUGUUAGGGAGGAAAGAGUGGGAAAAGAGAAAGAGAUCCUUGUCUUUCCUCACAAGCUGAAGUCACCUCUUGCAAGCAUUGGGCCUGUGCCCUGGUUAUCCCUGGGAUGGAGCCGAGAACCCUCCAACUUUUGCUUCUUGCUAUGGGCUUUUUGUUUUGAGACAGAGUCUCACUCUGUUGCCCAGACUGGAGUGCAGUGGCAGGAUCAUGGCUCACUGUAGCCUCAACAAUGUCCGGCCUCUAAGCCCAAGCUAAGCCAUCAUAUCCCUUGUGACCUGCACGUAUACAUCCAGAUCACCUGAAGCAACUGAAGAUCCACAGAAGAAGUGAAAAUAGCCUUAACUGAUGACAUUCCACCAUUGUGAUUUGUUUCUGCCCCACCCUAACUGAUCAAUGUACUUUGUAAUCUGCCCCACCCUUAAGAAUGUUCUUUGUAAUUCUCCCCACCCUUGAGAAGGUACUUUGUGAGAUCCACUCCCUGCCUGCCAAACGUUGCUCCUAACUCCACCGCCUAUCCCAAAACCUGUAAGAACUAAUGAUUAAUCCACCACCCUUUCUUUGCUGACUCUCUUUUCGGACUCAGCCCACUUGCACCCAGGUGAAAUAAACAGC
rnacentral:lncRNA from 1 species